AAUAGGAAAGAGUUGUGUAUAUCCCAUUGGCAUACGUGGGCAAGGGGCGGGGUCUAUUUUCCGUGUCAUGGCUCCUCCCUGUAGACUUCAAGAAGUUCCAUAUCCGGAAGUGGGCCCCGUAGACUUUCGUUUGACUGUCGACACCUUUCUCGGUGUGUCAUAUUCACUCAUCAUUGACUGAUGACCCCUGAACAGAUUUCCGGCCCUUCUUCAUACAGCUUGUCUUCCACCUUCACAGUCAUGGUGUGUCAUAUUCACUCAUCAUUGACUGAUGACCCCUGAACAGAUUUCCGGCCCUUCUUCAUACAGCUUGUCUUCCACCUUCACAGUCAUGCUGUGUCAUAUUCACUCAUCAUUGACUGAUGACCCCUGAACAGAUUUCCGGCCCUUCUUCAUACACCUUGUCUUCCACCUUCACAGUCAUGGCACAACACUCAGGAGUGCUGUGAGUUGCAUGACACCUGCAGAGGCUCCAUACUACAGACUACUACUACUCGGUACUACAGAAACCGGAUCACUUGACAAGCCUGUGUCCUGUUUUGGCCUUCCACACUCUGUAGGAUUGCAUAGGCUCCAUUUCUUCUCCCACAUCACCAUUCCAAAACAACUCCAGAUGUUUCGUUUGUAUUAUGGCCAGUUUCUUUACAUCUGUUACACUACCUGUGUUUUGCACCCAAAACUGGACUGCUCUAUCUGUUUCUUGUUUUUUAUCAUUAUCACUUGCAUUGCUGUAAAUAUGUUCCAUUAGCUCAGUUUUGCAACUAUGAAGUGUACAGUUUUGUUGUUGUAUUACUGUUACGCUGAGCAAAAAGAAACCUCAAACCUUA